rnacentral:misc_RNA from 1 species
GAACGCACCUUGCGCCCCUUGGAUAUUCCGAGGAGCAUGCCUGUUUGAGUGUCAUUGAAUUCUCAACCGUCCUUUGAUUUAUUUCGAGGGAUGGCUUGGAUUUUGGGAGUUGCUGGCUGACCCUCGGGACGGUCGGCUCUCCUUAAAAGCAUUAGCGAAAGGUGACAAGCCCUGCAUGCACGGCCUUCGACGUGAUAAUGAUCGUCGUGGCUGGAGUGUGAGGCGUAGAUAGUCCAUUUUUUGCUUCCAAAAACAUCGGUAUUUUGGGGAGUUUGCUUCGGCGGACGAACCUUUUUGCCCUUUUUGACGCUUGACCUCAAAUCAGGUAGGACUACCCGCUGAACUUAAG